rnacentral:rRNA from 1 species
GAUGAACGCUGGCGGCGUGCCUAAUACAUGCAAGUCGAGCGAACAGACGAGGAGCUUGCUCCUCUGACGUUAGCGGCGGACGGGUGAGUAACACGUGGAUAACCGACCUAUAAGACUGGGAUAACUUCGGGAAACCGGAGCUAAUACCGGAUAAUAUAUUGAACCGCAUGGUUCAAUAGUGAAAGACGGUUUUGCUGUCACUUAUAGAUGGAUCCGCGCCGCAUUAGCUAGUUGGUAAGGUAACGGCUUACCAAGGCAACGAUGCGUAGCCGACCUGAGAGGGUGAUCGGCCACACUGGAACUGAGACACGGUCCAGACUCCUACGGGAGGCAGCAGUAGGGAAUCUUCCGCAAUGGGCGAAAGCUUGACGGAGCAACGCCGCGUGAGUGAUGAAGGUCUUCGGAUCGUAAAACUCUGUUAUUAGGGAAGAACAAAUGUGUAAGUAACUAUGCACGUCUUGACGGUACCUAAUCAGAAAGCCACGGCUAACUACGUG